rnacentral:lncRNA from 1 species
GGGGCCGGGAGGUAUGGAGCACCUGCAUCCUGGGUCUGCAGGGCUCCCCUGUCUUGUCUCUCUCUCUCUCUCUGACCUUGGCCUUUUCCAACGAAGGUGAGUUCUAAGGGUGACAGUGGAGGUUUGAGCAAGGGACAGAGGUGACCCAGGGCAAACGCAUAGGCUCAGAAUCAGAGGACUGGUCGAACUGGUCCAGCUGUAACUGCCCAUGUAGUCUGACCACGAGCCCUGGGUGUUCUGUGCUAGAGGACUCCAAGGCCAGAAUGGACGUCACCAGGAAGCAGCUGCAUUCAGAUGGUGACUCUUAGGUGACUGGGAUUUUAUAUACCUAGCGUUCUAAAAUCAUCGUUUGUGCCUCAUGAAAAGUGAAAGCAUCAGGAAGUUCGCAUAUUCUUCUCUAUACUCAACCAGACCAAACUCCCCUUCAGUUAUUUGUGAUUAUGGUCAGGAGUGCAGCAUAGUUUCUCAAGGAGGCUUUUGUUCCAAGCACAGCUGCCAUCCUCUGUCUCAAAGCCAAGAGACAAGCUGAUGGUAGAAAAAGGCAGCUCUUUUCAAGGGAGGGAAGAGAGGGGAUGUUUUCAGGCGGCCUCCAAGGCUGAUGACUCUCCUGCUCUCUAGGCGGUGGCUCCAAGGAAGGAGGCACAUCCCAGGCCAAGAGAGCAGGCGUGGCUGGAACAGAGGAUCCUCAGCUGUGCCUUCAGCAGAGAGGCUGGGGCAUUGCCAGGUGGAGUGAUUUAGCAUCCCGGCCAGGAGGGGGCGCCUGUCCUUCUCCAAAUGCCGCGUUCCGAUCAUCUUGCUCAGCCCUCGGUGGCCAGCAGGUGGCGACGAAACCUGCCCUUGCGGCCUCUUGCCAAGCGCAGGCAGGCGCAGCAGCCCUGCGGUCUUCCCUGCGACCGAAGGCUGUGUUUUUCUCCGGACAGACUGAGGACGUGCCUGUGGGGCUUUGGGACACGGGCCUGGUGGGGCCCCUUGUUCAGAAGAGAAGACCGCCAUCUGAGCCCGAGUUGGAGGAAUGCCUG